rnacentral:piRNA from 1 species
UUUAUUUCGUUUUACAAAACU